UUGCGCUGCCUGAAGAAAGCAGAGUUCUACGGCCGAGUGAGCAGCGACAACAUAACGGUCUUCCUCCGCCAUCUUCUUCCUACCAUUUCUCCAAGCUUCUACGUUUAUCCGGCUUCUACAUCAACUACAAAUCUCAUCAUCAUCUUCAUCUGCGUGGCUUCGUCGUUUUGUGUUUAUAAUACGUCGUACGUGUGCGAGAAACCGACAGCUGCAAUUAUCAACCGUGAAAAAUAAAGAACCUUCUUCUGGUGGAUGGACAGAGGAAACUUUCUGCUUCGCGAAGUAUACAACCAGAUGAAAAACCAACUAACCACUCCUGGCUGUGUUAUGGAGAUGACGGUGGCAGGUUGUUGGAAGUUGAAGAUGGUUCGAUCCCCAAGUGUUGCACGGGUGGUUGAUGUAGCAUAUACCACCCUUUGUGGAGUUUGAUACACGAUGAUCUGACUCGGUGUUACUGCUAUUGUACCGGCAACUAUAAAUGCACAAAUGUUAGCAAGAUGACCAUGAACAUUUUAUGUUAAAAAUCCUGGGCUAUAUAUCUUUGUAUAUUCAUACAUUCAAACAUACAUAAACGACUAUGAGCAUAAGCAGCAUAAGUUUGCCAAAAGUCUAACUUGCUAGGUAAUAUAUGUCUAUAAAAAAGAAGAAAAGGAUAACACAAAAGCCGUGAGAUGUUUCUUUGAAAGCUACAAUACCACUACAAAGUAUAGCAACUGCCUGAAUUCUGUUUCUUUCCACCUUUCAAUUUUAUUAAGACCACAUUGCCUAAAAAAAA